UACGAAGGGGGCGAGCGUUGUUCGGAAUUACUGGGCGUAAAGGGCGCGUAGGCGGCCUACUAAGUCGGACGUGAAAUCCCUCGGCUCAACCGAGGAACUGCGUCCGAUACUGGCAGGCUGGAAUCCGGGGAGAGGGAUGUGGAAUUCCAGGUGUAGCGGUGAAAUGCGUAGAUAUCGUAAGGAAGACCAGUGGGCGAAGGCGGGU
rnacentral:rRNA from 1 species